GAACACCAGCCCCAUCUUUUCACCAUGGAGCUUCCAGAGCUGACUUUGAAGUAUAAAGAGAAAGACCGGAUGUUGGGCCACAGUAGAGGGCUUCCACCAAAGGAGGGGUCUGGGGGCAAAGCAGGCAAAGAGGCAAGCUCCAGGCAGGGGCUGCCAGCAAGCAGGCUUCUCUCGAUGGGUACAACAGUGCUGUAAAGCUGACAAACAGAGUUUGGCUUCACUUGAAGGUGUGAAAAGAACAGCCUGACUCUGAGAGCUGGUGGGCCAGGAGAGAGUGAAAACAAAGCCACUGGAUAGUGAGAGGAUAGAGGGUGCUCCACAGACGCGAACUGCAUCUUUAUGUUUACAUAGAAGGGAGAGUGAAGGAGCAAAUGUGGGCAACAGCUGUCAGUGACACAUCAUUACCCCAACAGCCAGAAACAAGAUAAGCGCCUUGCAGGGGCCCUUAACUGACUGCUGGGUUCGAUGGUUCAAAGAGAAAAAGCACGUGAUAACUUUGAAGGAGGCUGCCUGGCUGAGCUGAUCGGAUCACCUAGAGACUGGAAAUGCUUUCUGGCAGUGCCUGAUCCUCUACUGGGUGUUCAACACUGGCUGCAUUUAUGGAGACCACAGACAAAAGAUGGAAACAGCCUCCACCGGCAUGGGGAUCAGGCAUGGGGCAAACACAGGAGACAAAACAGGAGAAUCUCCCGAGAACACCCUCUGAUCAGCACUCUGCAUGCAAUUUCCAUCUCAGACUCUGUUUCUAGGAAGACUUUCAGGCAGCUGACACUGGACGUGGUUGUGAGUUGCAGGCCCUAAUGAAAAAUUGGAGAGGAAGCAGGUGGCCGGCUGAUGAAAUGAUAACCAGAAGGCCUGUGGGCUUGGGUGGCUGAGGCUGAGGCUACUGAGUGUUGAAGAGAGAGAGGCAGAGGCGCAGGAUGACUCAUCACUGGUUUCAGGCAAACUGUGAAAGCCAGAGCACUUCCUUGGCAGCAUUUAAGAAAACCCCGAUGAUCUGCAGCUGGAAGGCAGGUUGGCUGGAGGACCAGUCUGAACCCUGAUCUGAAGUCACCUGCCCUAUCUGGACAUUCCAUAGACUACCACUUUUACCCACGACUUCGAUGUGGCAUGCUCAUUGGACCAGAUAAGCAAGCAGUGGCAAGUGGAUUGGAGGUCUUGGUAACCAGUUCAACCAAAAUCCUGGGACAGCUGUUCCCUGAUGCGGCACACUUCCUAGAAGAAGCAAGUGAAUUUAAAGCAGAGUGAACUGUAGAGGAGUUCACGACCAAAUCUCUGAUGCUUUCCCCAGAUCUUUCUUCAGGGCCAACACAUCCAUUGCUCAGCUGUGAUAGACAGCAGUCAGGGGUGGCUCACCUCUCUCACUGGGAAUUGCUCUCAGCAGUAGGGAACUCAUUCAGGGUUAAGGCAUCUCCUUGAGGAGGCCCAUGUUCAAUUACUGGUUGACACAGGAAUAUGAAGGCCUGGCCCUCGUCUCAGCUUGGAAUAAAUCUGAAGGCCCAUCACAGCUUCAGAGAUGCUUGGAGAAGGCUGAGGUCUCCCCUGUAACCUUAUGAGAACCUUGAGUUGUUGAACUCAUUAAUUCUUUGGGACCAUCUUCCUGAUGUUCAAGUUUGUGAAACAGGCUUUCCCUUUAAGAUUUGUUUUCCUCAAAAUACAAGACUAUUGAUGCUUCAGUUUUGAAGUGGAUUCUGCACUCAAGAAAUGUACCAUUGAAGAAUGGGACUGGUAGGAAGGGAAAAAAACUAAAAGGAAACGCAUUUUCGAGUUGCACAUCAUGAUCAGGCACAGAGUCCAGAUACACUUGGAGUAGCAAGCAUCCAUCCUUGUGGAGACGCACAUGAACCAGGACUCUCUGCACCCACCCCUCUCAAGUUUUAUUUUCCGACGGCUGUAAUGUUCCAGGACACCUGCCAUCAUGGAGGGUUAUCCAGCACCUGGAGGAUACCUGCUACCUAUUUUGUGAACAAUUUGGCAUGAGGAGAGAAAGGAACCUGAAGUUUUUAGCAAGGAAGGGCCCUGAUGAUGGUUGCCUUCAACAUUGCCUCAAUACUCAACAUCCAAGACAGCCCUGGCUUAGCAACUGGAAUCACGGAUGGGGAAAAUUUUUUCUCAAGCACAUGUGAAAUUUGGCUGUCAGACCACCUUCAUCUGCACAGAAAGCUAAAUGUAUUGCCUAGUUUUGCAACUUCAUAUGACUGUUCGCCAAACUGGAAUAAUUGUUGCAUUUGUGUGUGACUUCUCAGUAUUCCUAUGGCAUUACCACCAUAGCACCCCUAUGUCAAAUGGUGAAAGAAUUAGGUGAGGUUUUGUGAACGUUUAGAGUAACUUUGUUUUUUUGCAUCAACAUUCAAGAAGCACUCCUUCCCUUCCACUGCAGUAGAACCUUGAGGUCCCUCUCAGAUUUCUGUGGGGUGUCUGUGGUCUGCUGGAGCAUGGCCAGGUCUGGGCAGCUGUCACUUUCCUUCUGCUUCCCAGUACAGAGGCCUAUCUGGUGCUCAGAAAAGCUUCCUAAGUAAGAAUGCAGGUGUCUCACAUUAAGAAGGGAACCUUCUGUCCAUCUCCAGCUUAAGUAUCAACGUAUCCAGCAGCCUCAAGUCUAUCCAAACCUUAUUCAUUUUUCCCCACUUUGUUUUCAUAAUUUGACCACAGAACUGAGCGUCAAGUAUAUAUGAACCCAAGUUGUUUGUUCUCUUGUAGUUUGUUUUAGUGUUGUUCUUUCAGAUUAUAAUCUCAGGGCAGGAGUUCUGUCAAAAUUCUCACUUGAUCUUAAAAAGCCAAUUACAGGGCAAGAUGAAAAGUGGCUUCUUAGUAAACAUUUGCUAGCUUGAUACCUGACUCCACUCCUGCCUAUUAAAAGCAUUUCGCUUGAAAGUAUGCAAUGGUUAGAAGCAUCUAGAAAGUCGAGGUCUGAUGAUUUCACACACAUAUUUUGGGGUGCUAAAUUAAAGCUCUCCUUUGUAAAACAGUGCAUGAUGUCUUGGUGCUCUCAGGAUUGAAUGGUGAACAUACUGGCAGAGGCAAUUUCAGAUCCAAGUGAAAGACAGUUUUCACCUGGUGGUAAGGGUAGAUGUGUACUGAAACAACAAUCUAGGGCCGUCUUCUUUGUACCACAAGCUUAAUAAUUUGUAUGGCUAUGCUGUCUUCUUAGCUGCUUGCUGGUGGUGAAAAUCAGUUAUUUUCACUGGCUGAUUGACAGUUGGCCAGCACUGACCCUUCUGAAGACCUGUAUUUAUUUCUUGGAGGGGGUACCCUUGGUUUUAUUUUAUUCCUUUUGCGCCCUCACCCUACUUCAUGCCUUGCUGGGAAUAGGAACAGUGGUGCAGACUUAAGAGAAGAGGCCAAGGAAGAGCAAGUGAAAUCUGCUGGUCACCGUAGAUUUAAGCCCUUAGGAGACAGGGUUGUGUUUCUCCUCCUGGCAGAGUUGCAAUGAGACAAUGUCUAUCAAAUACAAGAAGAGUGGCUGAGUUCAAGGAGGGGUAGAAAUCUGUCAAUGAAAAAUUCUAUAUCACAUUGAAGUUUGGUCAUAGAAGGUAGCUUCUGGUGUUCUGCCCCCUAACCAUGGCAUGCCAUGAUUUAGUCCGUAAUGGACACAGCUUAGUGGAGUUUGUUUCAUCUCCAAACUUCACUCAUUGUUUAAAGAUACUGGCUAGGUGUCAGCACAGCCUGGGCCAGGGAGAGACGAUGGCCCAUUAGUCAUCAUCUGUCAUGCCUAUGGACUGUAGGGACCAGAGCAUUUACACUCAGAAUCACAGAGAUAAUUAGCACAUUGAUGUCAUUGUUCCUAACCACUGAGGCCAUUGAUCCUGUCCCCAGCCUGACUUGAAGGUCUUUGGGAGUUCAGCCAGCCUCCCAACCUGCCUACCACUUUGUUCUAAGAAUCCUACUCAACAGUGGCUUGCAUUUUCUGCUUCUAAGUGGCUUUGCGAUUAUGUAGAAAUUCAUGACGUGAUUUUGUCCUGAUUGAAUAAAGUGCAUCACUUGGUAUAAGGCCUGUGUCUGCCUAUUCCAUUUGAGCUGUAUAUUUUUCAAUGAAGUGGGAUUGUGGUCUCAAUUCAAAUUUUUUUUUUCUAUUGCUUCUACUGCACCAUGAUGGAGCUAAAGAGAAAUGCCUCAUUCAUGAUUAUCAGCUAUGCAAAGAAUGUUCCUUGUGAUGUCUAUGCUAAGCUAGGUUUAGAAGGAAAGAGUAAAAUUUUCCUCAUGGUCUCUCCUUCCUCAG
rnacentral:lncRNA from 10 species